rnacentral:rRNA from 1 species
UACGUAGGGACCAAGCGUUGUUCGGAUUUACUGGGCGUAAAGGGCGCGUAGGCGGCAAUUCAAGUCAUCUGUGAAAUCUCCGGGCUUAACCCGGAACGGUCAGAUGAUACUGCUUUGCUAGAGUGCGGAAGGGGCAAUCGGAAUUCUUGGUGUAGCGGUGAAAUGCGUAGAUAUCAAGAGGAACGCCUGAGGUGAAGACGGGUUGCUGGGCCGACACUGACGCUGAUAGCGCGAAAGCCAGGGGAGCAAACGGG